rnacentral:rRNA from 1 species
AUCAUGAGUUCACACGUCCGCAUGAUUAAAGGUAUUUUCCGGUAGACGAUGGGGAUGCGUUCCAUUAGAUAGUAGGCGGGGUAACGGCCCACCUAGUCAACGAUGGAUAGGGGUUCUGAGAGGAAGGUCCCCCACAUUGGAACUGAGACACGGUCCAAACUCCUACGGGAGGCAGCAGUGAGGAAUAUUGGUCAAUGGGCGAUGGCCUGAACCAGCCAAGUAGCGUGAAGGAUGACUGCCCUAUGGGUUGUAAACUUCUUUUAUAAAGGAAUAAAGUCGGGUAUGCAUACCCGUUUGCAUGUACUUUAUGAAUAAGGAUCGGCUAACUCCGUGCCAGCAGCCGCGGUAAUACGGAGGAUCCGAGCGUUAUCCGGAUUUAUUGGGUUUAAAGGGAGCGUAGAUGGAUGUUUAAGUCAGUUGUGAAAGUUUGCGGCUCAACCGUAAAAUUGCAGUUGAUACUGGAUGUCUUGAGUGCAGUUGAGGCAGGCGGAAUUCGUGGUGUAGCGGUGAAAUGCUUAGAUAUCACGAAGAACUCCGAUUGCGAAGGCAGCCUGCUAAGCUGCAACUGACAUUGAGGCUCGAAAGUGUGGGUAUCAAACAGGAUUAGAUACCCUGGUAGUCCACA